UGGGGAAUUUUGGACAAUGGGGGAAACCCUGAUCCAGCCAUCCCGCGUGUGCGAUGAAGGCCUUCGGGUUGUAAAGCACUUUUGGCAGGAAAGAAACGUCGCGGGUUAAUACCCCGCGAAACUGACGGUACCUGCAGAAUAAGCACCGGCUAACUACGUGCCAGCAGCCGCGGUAAUACGUAGGGUGCAAGCGUUAAUCGGAAUUACUGGGCGUAAAGCGUGCGCAGGCGGUUCGGAAAGAAAGAUGUGAAAUCCCAGAGCUUAACUUUGGAACUGCAUUUUUAACUACCGGGCUAGAGUGUGUCAGAGGGAGGUGGAAUUCCGCGUGUAGCAGUGAAAUGCGUAGAUAUGCGGAGGAACACCGAUGGCGAAGGCAGCCUCCUGGGAUAACACUGACGCUCAUGCACGAAAGCGUGGGGAGCAAACAGGAUUAGAUACCCUGGUAGUCCACGCCCUAAACGAUGUCAACUAGCUGUUGGGGCCUUCGGGCCUUGGUAGCGCGGCUAACGCGUGAAGUUGACCGCCUGGGGAGUACGGUCGCAAGAUUAAAACUUAAAGGAAUUGACGGGGGUGCAUAGCUG
rnacentral:rRNA from 1 species